CCUUCAUCUUCCUUCUUCCUUCUUCUCCAAUGGCUGCAGCACACUGACCAGUGACCAGGCGGUUUUGCAAGACUGCAACUCCUUCCCCGGCGACUUUGAAGAUUCCGGCGAAGCCAACACGCGCGGCCGCGCCCCCUCGCCGGGUGCUGGCUCCGCGCCUGCCUAAGGUGCAAUCCUACCUGAAGCAGCAGCUGUCCCAACCAGCCCAUUGAUAUUAUUUAUUAGCCUUAACUUUACCCAAAUUUUAUCCAUGUCUUUUGCCCUUUUCUCGAGUGAAUUUUCAUGUUUAUUGAAAUUCAACCACAUAUCAGCAGAGUUAUUAGCAGUAUGUCAUCGGAUCGAAGUUGGAUGUGGGCAUGUGGCGAUGAGUGGAUAAGGGUUUUCUUACAAAUGAAUUUAUUAUGGGAGGUCGAAGAUGAGCACAUGGAUGAUGAACUUUAUCAAGAAAAUAUGUCUGGAUCUAAUAGGCCCAAAGGUGACAGCAUGUAGGAUGUUGCUAACUAGAGGAGGAAGUACAUCUAGUCAAGCAAGGCAGCGUAAAUCAAGACGUGGGGGGUGGUACAAGGUCUAUACAGAGUAAUAAUGAACAUUAUGAUCCUAGUACUCUCAACGAUGAGUUGGGAGGUGAGCAAGCAGAUGAUUUGCCCAAAGCUAGAAAUAGGACCAGGGUCCUAAUCGUGGUAUUCCUAUGCCUGCUCAUCGAUUACAACGUAACGAAAUAACUAUUACAAAUAGCACUUUUGGUGAAACUUUCAUACCCCGUGACAUCACCGCAACCAUGAAAGCGUAUUUUGAUGGUCCAUAUCCCACAUUUUGCUCAAUGCCACAAUCUAUAAGAGAUGGUUUAUGGGAUCGAUUUAUGGAUAAAUAUGUAUGGCCGACUGCGAACACUAUCGAUGUGUAUGACACAUAGAAGGUCACAGCGAAGGAUAGAUAUAGAGAUAUGAUGAAUGAUGCUCGCGAGAAAGCAAAGCGUAAUCCUGCUCAUUGGAAAGGACAUGGCCCACGUUGGAUAAGAGCAGAGCAUUAGGAUAGUCUUGUGAAUUUUUGGAAUACUAAAAAAUGGAAAAAAAAAUGCGAAGAUUGCCAAGGAAAAUCGUCUUGCACAAGGACAUGAUGGUAAAAUGUAGAAGCAUACUGCUAGUUCAAUCUCCUUUGUGAUUACUAAUAAGAGAUUGGUAUAUUUUUUUCAUACUAUUUUUAUUUUAUGUUUUAAAGUUCAUGUGUAUUUUUAAUCGAUUGUAAUUAAUGAGUUGCAUAUUUUAGGAGAAGGAUAUGGAUAGUCCAAUGUCCCAAUUAGAGUUUUUCAGUCAUACUCACUGGAAGAAUCAAGGACUUCGCCAUUUUGUUGAUAAAAAAUCCAAGCGAGUUCAUGAUACUUAUAAUACUGCAAUCGAGUCCAAGUAUGGUACUGUUAGGGAUAAUCAACACAUUCGAUUCUAAUUCAUGGAUUGAUGCUGUCAACGGUCCAUCUAAAGGUCGUGUUUAUGGGUUUUGUCCUAGACAACCUGCUUCAUUUGUUCUUGGUACACCUACUUCACCUAGACGUUCAAUACUUGCACGUGAUGAAUAGGUGAAUAAUUUGAAGUCAGAACUAGCAAUUGCAUGAAAUACAAUAGACGAGAACAACGAAAGGAUUGAUUAUCUCACUAUACGUCUUGAAAGAGUUAAAAGAAAUCACGAGAUUGAGAUGCGAGAAACAGUGCGAAGCAUGCUCAAGGAACUAAAUAUUCCUAAUUUACAAUUUCCUUCUAGCUCAAGAUCACGAAAUGAUGAUAUGUGAGACAUGAUAUUUGAAAUUCGGAAUUUCGAUGUAAUAAUUUAAUCUAUUAAAGCUUUA